GUGCGGGUGCUCCUCUCCCAGAGCUCACCAGUCCUUCCAGCAGUCCUCAGGUUGCACGCGACCAGCAGUGGACUUUACUGAGUAGGGGUGGGAAGCCGGUGGCUCCGGGCAGCCGUGAUAACCCGGCACAGAAGCAGAGUCGCAUUUCGGAGCGUCCACCCGUAACCUGGCUUCUCGCACAUGGAGCCCAUAGUCCAGGAGAGAGAAGGCCAGGGCGGCCCUGGAGAGGUUGUAGGUGCAGGCGGAUCGGCGGCGGAGACCCCUUCGUGCUCAGGAAGGCACUCAUGCACUUGGUUCUGCUGUAGACUCCACUCUCUUCAGUACCACAACAGGACUACUUAUUCCUUAGGCGAUGUACAGCCAAACAAGUUAUAUGUAUAUUGGAGUUUUGACUUAUAUAUGUCUACAUAAACCUUUGGAGCCUUGGAACCCUUGAAACAGGAGUUACAGACAUGAGCUGCCAUGUGGGUGCUGGGAAUUGAACCCAGAUCCUCUGGAGGAACAGCCAGUGCUCUUGAGUCAUCUUUCCAGCCCCUGGAAUAUUUUUCAAGACAUUUCUCAUCUGUGCCUUAAAGACUAAUAGAACUGUAACUUAUAAGUGUAACUGAAAGGGCAUUUUUUUUCCCUUGAAGAAAUGCUUAUCGAAUAAGGAAAUCAAUAGUCUAAAGGUGAUUAAAAUAUUAAUUUAUGCAAAA
rnacentral:lncRNA from 1 species